rnacentral:rRNA from 1 species
UGCAGUCGCACGAUGAUSCCSAGCUUGCUGSUCGGGAUUAGUGGCGACGGGUGAGUAACACGUGAGUAACCUGCCCCUGACUCUGGGAUAAGCGUUGGAAACGACGUCUAAUACUGGAUAUGACUUCCGGCCGCAUGGUCUGGUKGUGGAAAGAUUUUUUGGUUGGGGAUGGACUCGCGGCCUAUCAGCUUGUUGGUGAGGUAAUGGCUCACCAAGGCGACGACGGGUAGCCGGCCUGAGAGGGUGACCGGCCACACUGGGACUGAGACACGGCCCAGACUCCUACGGGAGGCAGCAGUGGGGAAUAUUGCACAAUGGGCGAAAGCCUGAUGCAGCAACGCCGCGUGAGGGAUGACGGCCUUCGGGUUGUAAACCUCUUUUAGUAGGGAAGAAGCGAAGUGACGGUCCUGCAGAAAAAGCCCGGCUAACUACGUGCCACAGCCGCGGUAAUACGUAGGGUGCAGCGUUGUCCGGAAUAUUGGGCGUAAGAGCUCGUAGGCGGUUUGUCGCGUCUGCUGUGUAAUCCCGAGGCUCACCUCGGGCUUGCAGUGGGUACGGGCAGACUAGAGUGCGGUAGGGAGAUGGAAUCCUGGUGUAGCGGUGGAAUGCGCAGAUAUCAGGAGCAACAC